rnacentral:lncRNA from 7 species
GCUUGGUUGCUGUGGGAUUGGGUCCUAGUUGGUGAGGUCCCUGCCCUGCCUAGGACUGUUGUGCUCAGCUCCUGGUUCUCUAUCCCUUAAGGAGAAACUGGCUUGUGCUUCUUCCUGAUGGAUCUGGGUUUGUCUUCAUACAGCUUCCAGUGCUGGUGUGAAAUUGUGCCGCUUUGUGCACUCACAGCUGAGCAGAGGCAGAGCCUGCGGAAACGAGCAGACGUCAGUCAGAAAGCCAGCCCCAUAGAGCACCUCUACUGCCUUGGACUGCUGUGGCCAAACAUCUGCCUGGUGGACUGGGUCUCAGCUCCCCAGUAUAGGGAGGGGAAAAAAAGGCAACAGAUAUGUGAGAAGGAUUCCAUUUCUUUGCUGAUCCUCUUCAUCCCUUCAGUUUCAACAGGAGCAGAAGCACGUUCAGACUACUGCUCAAGUGAUCCUUCUUCUAGUAUUUGAUGCUGCAGAUGUUUAUUGCUAUUAAUAUGUAGAUAGAAUAUGCUCAGUGAUCUUACAAGUCUUGUGUUUGAGGUAUAACGUCUGUGAUACUUGAGAUUUCUUUUUAAUGUUCAGGCCUUAUUUAAAAAAAAAUCUGACACUGUGAAUCUAAAUUCUAUCCAGACCACUGUUUACUUUUGUUGAUAUCAUUAAGAUACAUUUCUUGCUUAGUACUGACUUACGCAAAUGGCUUAUUUUAUGUUUGGGUGGCGGUGUUAUUAACUCCUACUUUUAUUGCAAGUUUCUUGAAAACUAAUGAGCUUCUGAAGAUCCCAGCUCUUAGAAUCAGGUGAGCAGAUGAGUGUCAGCUGUCCUUCUAGUUCAUUAUCUUUUCAGUGUUCGUAUGUCCAAGGUGUGUCGUAAAUCAGAGUAAACAUCCUGGGAACAUAUUAAAAGCUUGAAAUUCAGAAGGUACUCAAUGUAUGAUGAUAUAAAAUAUUUUAAUGACUUUAAG